UUCUUAAAAAGAAACGUUGAUUCGGAUGUACUGAGACCUGAAUAUCUGCAUGCGCGCCGAUGUUUACAAAAGGAAUGUCCAGUAUUUUUGGUGUCUUUCGGUGAUACUUUUACACAUUAGAACAACUGAAUAAAAUCUCCUUUCAAUUAACUAUCGAUAUAUCUGGUAUUUUACGUAAGACUGAGUCCCAAUAUUAUUGCAAUUCGGUAGCAAAGAUGUUGACACCACAUGUCGUCUGAUGAUGAGUUUUACAGGAUCGAAUAAGGUUUGGUCAUUGUAUUCCCUGAAAGGAA
rnacentral:lncRNA from 1 species